UGCGUAGGUGGUGAGGUAAGUCGGAUGUGAAAGCUCGGAGCUCAACUCCGAAAUGGCAUUGGAAACUACCUUGCUCGAGGGUUGGAGGGGGGACUGGAAUACUUGGUGUAGCAGUGAAAUGCGUAGAUAUCAAGUGGAACACCAGUGGCGAAGGCGAGUCCCUGGACAACUCUGACACUGAGGCACGAAAGCUAGGGAAGGCAAACA
rnacentral:rRNA from 1 species